CCCCAAUACAGUUCGGAACGGGGGAUGGCGGCGGCAGCAGAGUUGUGUGAGGCGUCCCCAUGGUUACUAGCCGAAGUCCGGAACGUCACUUCCGCCCGGGUGUGGGAAGCCGGAGAUGUCGCGGUAGUCUGGUAGACGGCUGGGGCAACGGGUUGUCAUGGUUACUAGGCCGGGCCCUGUUACGUCAUUUCCGCCCCGCCGCCGGAGGCCGGAAGGAUGUCGGAGCUUGCAGGCAACGUGAGGGAGGCCCAUGGGGACGAGCCCACGAAAAGUGAUCAGAAUCCAGAAAUCUGCUGGCAAUAGAUGUGACAAAGCGUGACACAUUAGAAUGACCCGGAAAAGAUGAACUACACAAACCAGCUAUGAUGUUAUGUUAAAUCAAAUAAAGCACACCUGACAGUUGCAGCUGCAGUUUCAAUCCCAAAA